UACGUAGGCAGCGAGCGUUUGUUCGGAGUUACUGGGCGUAAAGGGUGUGUAGGCGGUUGUUUAAGUUUGGUGUGAAAUCUCCCGGCUCAACUGGGAGGGUGCGCCGAAUACUGAAUGACUUCGAGUGCGGGAGAGGAGAGUGGAAUUCCUGGUGUAGCGGUGAAAUGCGUAGAUAAUCAGGAGGAACACCGAUGGCGAAAGGCAGGUCUCUGGGGCCACUAUCUGACGCUGAGAAGCGAAAGCAUGGGGAGCGAAACAGG
rnacentral:rRNA from 1 species